UCGGUAGACGCUACGGACUUAAUUUUUGAGCCUUAAUAGAGAAAUCUACUAAGUGACUGUUUUCACAUUCAGGGAAACCUAAGGUUUGAGAUAUGAGGUAAUCCUGAGCCAAAUUUUAGUUAUGAAAUAGGUGCAGAGACUCGAAGGAAACUAUCCUAACGAAAAACUUUUUCUCUAUUUUUUAUUAUGAGUAUUGGUUAAGUGCAUAACACAAAAUAUAUUCAAAAUAAUAAAAAAAUUUGAAUACUGAAUAUGAAUAUUAGUUUUUAAAUAACUUUUAAUAGACGAGGAUAAAGAUAGAGUCCUUUUUUACAAUCUAUAUCAUUUUUUGUUAUAGAUAAUUGUAAAAAGAAAAUCCGUUGGCUUUAAUAGACCUUGAGGG
rnacentral:ncRNA from 1 species